CACGUAGGUGGCGAGCGUUGUCCGGAUUUACUGGGUGUAAAGGGCGUGUAGGCGGGGAAUUAAGUCAGAUGUGAAAUUCCGAGGCUCAACCUCGGCGCUGCAUCUGAAACUAAUUUUCUUGAGUGCUGGAGAGGAAAGCGGAAUUCCUAGUGUAGCGGUGAAAUGCGUAGAUAUUAGGAGGAACACCAGUGGCGAAGGCGGCUUUCUGGACAGUAACUGACGCUGAGGCGCGAAAGCGUGGGGAGCAAACAGG
rnacentral:rRNA from 1 species